rnacentral:rRNA from 1 species
UACGAAGGGGGCUAGCGUUGCUCGGAAUCACUGGGCGUAAAGCGCGCGUAGGCGGCUUUGUAAGUUAGAGGUGAAAGCCCGGAGCUCAACUCCGGAACUGCCUUUAAAACUGCAUCGCUUGAAUCCAGGAGAGGUGAGUGGAAUUCCGAGUGUAGAGGUGAAAUUCGUAGAUAUUCGGAAGAACACCAGUGGCGAAGGCGGCUCACUGGCCCGAUACUGACGCUGAGGCACGAAAGCGUGGGGAGCAAACAGG